UGGAAAUCAUUCGUAGGGUGUAAAGGCACAAGGGAGCUUGACUGCGAGACCUACAAGUCGAGCAGGGACGAAAGUCGGGCUUAGUGAUCCGGUGGUUCCGCAUGGAAGGGCCAUCGCUCAACGGAUAAAAGCUACCCCGGGGAUAACAGGCUUAUCUCCCCCAAGAGUCCACAUCGACGGGGAGGUUUGGCACCUCGAUGUCGGCUCAUCGCAUCCUGGGGCUGUAGUCGGUCCCAAGGGUUGGGCUGUUCGCCCAUUAAAGCGGUACGCGAGCUGGGUUCAGAACGUCGUGAGACAGUUCGGUCCCUAUCCGUCGUGGGCGUAGGAAAUUUGAGAGGAGCUGUCCUUAGUACGAGAGGACCGGGAUGGACACACCGCUGGUGUACCAGUUGUCUUGCCAAAGGCAUCGCUGGGUAGCUAUGUGUGGACGGGAUAAGUGCUGAAAGCAUCUAAGCAUGAAGCCCCCCUCAAGAUGAGAUUUCCCAUAGCGCAAGCUAGUAAGAUCCCUGAAAGAUGAUCAGGUUGAUAGGUCAGAGGUGGAAGCGUGGCGACAUGUGUAGCUGACUGAUACUAAUCGAUCGAGGACUUAACCAAA
rnacentral:rRNA from 2 species